rnacentral:rRNA from 1 species
GAUGAACGCUGGCGGCGUGCCUAAUACAUGCAAGUCGAGCGAACAGACGAGGAGCUUGCUCCUCUGACGUUAGCGGCGGACGGGUGAGUAACACGUGGAUAACCUACCUAUAAGACUGGGAUAACUUCGGGAAACCGGAGCUAAUACCGGAUAAUAUAUUGAACCGCAUGGUUCAAUAGUGAAAGACGGUUUUGCUGUCACUUAUAGAUGGAUCCGCGCUGCAUUAGCUAGUUGGUAAGGUAACGGCUUACCAAGGCAACGAUGCGUAGCCGACCUGAGCGGGUGAUCUGCCACACUGGAACUGAGACACGGUCCAGACUCCUACGGGAGGCAGCAGUAGGGAAUCUUCCGCAAUGGGCGAAAGCCUGACGGAGCAACGCCGCGUGAGUGAUGAAGGUCUUCGGAUCGUAAAACUCUGUUAUUAGGGAAGAACAAAUGUGUAAGUAACUAUGCACGUCUUGACGGUACCUAAUCAGAAAGCCACGGCUAACUACGUG